rnacentral:misc_RNA from 2 species
ACCGACGAAGGCGAUUAUCAGGUGAAGCUAAAAAACCUGAUCCGCUUCUUGGAAGGUGGUGACAAGGGUAAGGUCACAUUGCGCUUCCGUGGUCGUGAAAUGGCGCACCAGGACAUUGGCCGUAAGCUAAUGGAACGAAUCGCAGCAGACCUGGAAGAGAUCGGAGUGGUGGAGUCUUUCCCGAAAAUGGAAGGCCGCCAAAUGAUCAUGAUUCUUGCCCCGAAAAAGAAGUGAUCCAACGGCGAAGUUAACGGGCCAGUGCGAAGGCGCUGGUCGGCCCUGGGUUUUCUAAAAAAUAUCGAGCGGAGUUCUCUCAUGCCGA